rnacentral:rRNA from 1 species
UGGGGAAUAUUGGACAAUGGGCGAAAGCCUGAUCCAGCCAUGCCGCGUGAGUGACGAAGGCCUUAGGGUUGUAAAACUCUUUCGUCGGGGACGAUAAUGACGGUACUCGGAGAAGAAGCUCCGGCUAACUUCGUGCCAGCAGCCGCGGUAAUACGAAGGGGGCUAGCGUUGUUCGGAUUUACUGGGCGUAAAGCGCACGUAGGCGGAUAGUUAAGUCAGGGGUGAAAUCCUGGGGCUCAACCCCAGAACUGCCUUUGAUACUGGCUGUCUCGAGGUCGAGAGAGGUUGGUGGAAUUCCUAGUGUAGAGGUGAAAUUCGUAGAUAUUAGGAAGAACACCAGUGGCGAAGGCGGCCAACUGGCUCGAUACUGACGCUGAGGUGCGAAAGCGUGGGGAGCAAACAGGAUUAGAUACCCAAGUAGUCCCUGAGCGGGCUGGCAAGGCGCAU